rnacentral:rRNA from 1 species
UCAAAAACAUCUCCUUUUAAAUAAAAGGUAGACUCUGCUCCAUGAACUUUUAAAUAGCCGCAGUAUUUUGACUGUGCUAAGGUAGCAAAAUAAAUAGUUUUAUAAUUGAAAACUAGAAUGAAUGAGUUGACGAGGUUAAAACUUUUAUUUUUAAACAAAUAAAAAAUUUUAUAUCUGCUUCAAAAAGAGCAGCUCAACUAAGGGGACGAUAAGACCCUAUAAAGCUUAUAAAUUUUAAAUUUAAAUUAUUAUUUAAGAAAAUUUAAUUAUAAAUUUAGAAUUGAGCUGGGGCGGUUUUUAAAAUUCUUUAAAAAAAUUAACACUUUUAGUGUUUAGGUAGCUCUAAAAAGAAAAUAGAACAAGCUACUUUAGGGAUAACAGCACAAUUUUCUUAAAUAGAUCUUAUAGAAAAGAAAGACUUGUGACCUCGAUGUUGAAUUUUGAGGGGCUAUUUUUAAGCAAAAAUAAAGAUAAGAAGUCUGUUCGACUUUUAAUCCCUC